AGCCCGUGACGAGGACACAACUUUAAAAUCUCCUUAAAAUAUGCACAUGCUUCAUAAAGUGUUUCACCUUCCUUUUGGGUAAAACUAUUAAUUUGAUUCUUUAAUUU